AUCUGGAUCGAGGUUCUGGUGAUCGGCUACAUUGAGUUCCAGAGGAACUCUGAGCUCGACCUCGAGAAGAGGUUGUACCCGGGAGGCAAGUUUUUCGACCCGUUGGGUUUGGCUUCUGAUCCGGAGAAGAAGGCGACACUUCAAUUGGCGGAGAUCAAGCAUGCACGUCUGGCCAUGGUUGCGUUCCUUGGAUUUGCUGUGCAGGCUGUUGUCACCGGUAAAGGUCCGCUUAACAACUGGGCUACCCAUUUGAGUGACCCGCUCCACACCACCAUUAUCGACGCCUUCUCCUCUUGAGCAUUGUGUCAAGUUAAUUAGCUGAAUCAUGAGUUGUACCAGUACUGCUUAUCUUGUAAAGAUUCUGAUAUGCGAUGUGAUGAAAUGAGACUACUACUACUGCUUGUUAAAUGACUAGAUGUUGAUGGAGUAUGUCUCAAAGACUAUUACCUACUGAUAUAUUUGCUCCUUAUGAGUUAUGAUGAUGGGUUUAGUUCGUAUAGAACUUUAAACAAAGAAUGUUAAGUUGAAUACAAAACUUCCCUUGUAUGAUGCAUGAACACCAAUCUAUUCAAUCAGUGUUCCAUCCUAUUCAGUAUGAUGACUUACAAAUAUACCAAAUAUAUACUUUGGUGAAGGGGAGUGAAUUUAUAUAUACACAAAACAUAAAUUAAUAACUAUUUUCUCAAUAACUUCUUGUUUUCCCGUAAUGAGUUUGUUUUGGUCUUUCAAAGUGUUAAAGACCCUACAGUGUUUUUCACUCUCGAUAUUGUAAACUUGUUGGGUAACAUGUAAAUUCCUUGAGCCUAAAGUCCAUUGGUAUCUGACCAAAACAAGAAAACGAGAAUCAAAUUUCUGGUACAUAGUUCGGAACCCAUAACAUCCUCCAUAGUUUACCUCUCAGAAUCACUCGUCCCAAUGUUUGCUUAAAACUCCAUUCUCCAUCCUCCAUAGUUUACCUCCCAGAAUCACUCGUCCCAAUCUGCCGUGUGUUUCUUACAACUCCAUUCUCCAACACUCACUUUAAAAGGCACCCAUUCUUUCUCCAUCAAUGAAUGUACACAAAGUGUUCGAUCAUAUGCCUCUGAGACAUUGAACACUGCUUUGCUCGCUUAAAUCCCCACUCACUACUACAACAUCCCAUUCCCACUCCAUUGUAUUUGUAGUCGUAUUUUGAUUGGUCAUUAGUUUGCUUCAAUCUGGGCAUUGCGAUACAGAUGCUUCUCUUCUGCUUUGGCAAUCUGCGGAAACCUCGAAAUGGCUACUCGGAAGGUUUUGUGGAAUUUCCCCAACAAGUUAUUCACGGUUGGGGUUGUGGGUCUCUGUAUUUCAGAUUCUGUUGCUAGUGUCGCUCCCGUACGGGGUUCCUCUAUGUCUCCUACAUUGAAUCCUGCAAAGACUAACUUAAUGGGCAUAUCAACUGGUCGGUAUCUCUAAGAGAAGAUUGUAAACAGGUUGAUUUAAUUUUUAUGUGCAAUGUGAUGGCUUGUUUAGUAUGAUAACGAUUUUGUUUGCAGAUGACUAUGUUUUGCUGGAGAAACUGUGUCUUAACCAUUACAAGUUUAAGCAUGGUGAUAUUGUAGUCUUCUGGUAUUGUUCCUUGCAACAUUUCUUAGGUGCCAUUUGUUAACGGGUGAGAUAUACUAACGAGCCUGUGAUUUUUUUGGUACAUUUUGCAGCUCACCAAGUAAUCACAAGGAGCGUCAUAUUAAGAGGAUAACCGGCUUACCUGGAGAUUGGAUUGGAAAUCGUAAGUCAUACGAUGUGGUGAAAGUUCCAGAGGGACAUUGCUGGGUUGAGGGAGACAAUUCAUCUUCUAGCAUGGAUUCAAGAACAUUUGGCACAGUAAGUUAUCCUGUCUGCUAUUUUUGUGCUCUAGAAAUGAAAAAUAGUUUAACAGUAGUAUUAACAAUCCAUGAUCUACUAAUACUAGUAUUGUUGCCUAAACAAGUUAAAACCCACUCAGACUAGGUAUUUGGCCUUCCUUUCAGAAGUUACUGCAACUUCUAUCUACUUGAUGGAGGCAUGCAGCUUGCACAGCGACUUACUGUGCAGGGUAUAGUAAUGUGCUAUUGUGGCUAACAUGAGACGUUCUUCAAUAUUUCUGCCACUUUUGCUAACUCAAGCUAUUCUUUGCAGAUUCCUCUGGGUUUAAUUCAAGGAAAGGUGACCCACAUUGUGUGGCCUCCUCAGAGAAUAGGUGCGGUUCAGAGAAGUACCGCAGGACACAUUUGAUCCUUGCGCAUCACUCCCGGAUACAAUUUAUUGCGGAAGAAAAAGUUUCUCUUAUUGUCGCCAUUUUGGCAUAGCAGCAUUCUUGAUUGCAUUGUUCUUUGUCAACAAUAUUCAAGUAAGCACCCUGCAAGUUCUUGAUCAGGCAUAAAAUCAAACACUGAUAUGAUCAACAGUAUGUCAUAGUUCUCGUUUUGGUUCUAUAUCUAGCUGUUUAGUAUUGAGUGUUGAUCAUCAAGCCGUAAAAACAUGUAUUUUAAACCAUCAACACAAGGAUACUCGACUAGUUAUUUGAGAUAUUGAUUCGCAAUUAACUCAUUGUUUCUGUCAAACCAUUUUCUUAUUGUGGCCAUUACAGGUUGUCUGAAGCUUGCUUCUGUAAUGUUAAUUCUCUGGCAAAAAAUCACAAAUGGUCACUGAUUUUUGACCCAUUAAUCACUUUACUCACUCACAUUUCAAAAAUAUCACUUAACUCACUCACUUUUCAUUCCGUCUCUCAUUUAACUCCCUACCGUUAAACCUACCGUUAGAAACCGUUGAAAUUGAGGGUAUAUUUGUCUAACCACAUAAAAUGCAUUUCUAACUUUUUAUUUUAUAUCUAAAGUUAUUAAAUCAUUUCCUUUUUUAUUUUAUGAAAAAGAGUGACUUUAUAAAAUCUGAAAUUAUUUUGAAAAAAAAUAAUAUAUUAUUUUAUUUUUUUCACGAUACAUCAUUAACUUAGAAAUGCAUAUUUUUCUUAUUUGAAAGUUAUUAAAUUAUUUUCAACUUUAAACAAAAGAAAAAAUUGAAUUUCUAAUACAAAACAAAUGUUUUAGAAGUAAAAUAUGAUGAGAAUAAAACAAUUUUUUAUUUUUGUCCUAAGAAAAAACUAAUUGGAAUUCUUUUUUUAUGUUUAGACAAAUAUACCCUUGAUGUUAACGAUUCUUAACGGUAGGUCUAACGGCAGUGAGUUAAGUAAGAGAUGAAAACAAAAGUGAGUGAGUUAAGUGAUAUUUUUAAAAUGUGAGUGAUCGUGAUAUUCUGCCUAAGUUAUCAUCUACCCAAAUCAAGAGCUCAUUGUUUGUGGUUGAAGCACUUGGUUCACUUCACCAUAUUGUGUUUAGAGAGAAAUUGGAAGGAAGAAAGAGAUAAAAGGUCAUAUGCUAGUUGGAUCGGAUGUAUAGCCAACCAAGAAUCACAGGUUGGCCAGUUGCCUACUUUCUGCACUAUAAGAUAGAAAAUGGAGAAAGUGAAAGCAUACCCUGUAGUAUGAAAAUGUGAGUCCAUUAGAUCUGAGUUUUCAAUGGCGGGGAUAACUCUCACUCUCUUCCUAUGGGUUUCUUACUUUCUUGGUCUUGUCAUUACUACGAAAGGUUUUCUUGUGCCCUUUGGCACUUUCUUGGAGAUUGGUCAAUUCUAUCAUAUCGCUGUUUUUUUAUGUUCACCAAGAGGAGAAGGCACAACCAAGGCAUGUUUCACUUCUGCAACCAAAUUUUCAUUCACUAACCUAUGUCCCAAAUUCACGGUUUGCAAUUUAGACGACUAAUUCACAUUUCAGUGAUUUCACCAACUAAUUAACACAUGAAUGAUUAAUCGUCUCUAGUCUCUAUAGAAGCGCUCAGACUUUACCAAACUGUGGAUUAUCCAAAAUACCAAACUGUGGAUAAAUCACGAGUUUAGACUAGUUUCAUUUAAAUGUGGAACCAAUCCAGAAAAUUCAAUCACUCACAAAUUUUACCUUUGUAAAUUUUAACAGAUUCUAACUGAGAGAUAACUUUUCGAAAUGUUAAAAUAUAAAAGAGUGUCCAUACUCUUGACGAAUAAUCUGUACUCUGUUUAAAGAAAAAACUGCAAAAUACGUAGUGGGCACUGGGCAGGCAGGCCAUCUUCUCUCAACUCAAAUCAAAAGGCUUCGUUUUGCCAACUCUGCUCUCUGUAACCGCCGGUAAAGAUCACAAAAACCCAUCACCACGUUCUCACAUUUCUUUACCUGCAUUGCACACCCACAUUUCUCUUUUCUCUUUCUUUUUGUGUUUCAGGUUGAUUUUCUUGCAUUUUGAUCCUACGUGAUUUCUGGGUUCGUUUUGGUUUUCCCAAUUGUGUAACACGGUGGUGGAUCUUGGUGGUUCUGUAGGGAGAAAGAAAUCAAGAACUGUAGAGGAACGGAAACAUGGGAAGGCUGUUUGUGCUGACUCUUGAAGGACACGUCUAUAGCUGCAAGUACUGCAAAACCCAUCUUGCUCUUGCUGAUGACAUUCUCUCCACGGUCUGGAAUUCUUUUCCUUUAUGCUUUUUUCGGUAUCGGUUUUCGUUUCUGUUGUUUAGGGUGUGUGCAAUAGUAUUUCAUGUUGCAUUUGAUGUGGAUCAUGUAACUGUGUGACAAUUUUUGGACGAGGGAUUGGAUGGUUUGCAUGAGAACUUGGCUUUUGUGAGUGUUCUUUUUUAUGCUUAAUUGCGGUAUGUAAAGAAACAAACUUAGUUUAGUGUUGAUUUGCAUUAGGUAUUGUUUUGGGUCAGUGUUUAUUUUCAUCACUCACAUGCCACAGCAUUGGUUCAGGUUGCUGUGCUGAAAUCUUGGUUUCUGGAUUCAUUUGGUCUGCAUUGUAGGAGUUGUUUACCAAAUGGCCUACAUAUGCAUAUCACAAUCAACUUUGGCUUCUUGUGAAAUAGUUUAGUCAGCUGCUUGAGAUAAAGAACUUCGAUCAGUAAAACCAUUACUAUGAGAUUGAAACAUGAUAAACAUGAUUGCCCUAUUAUUUUAUUUUCAUGUUACAGUUUUCUACUUCUUGCUGAUAGUCAUUGUUCUAUGCUCUCUUAACUGGUCUGAGUGUUCUAUGCUUGAUAUGAGCAAUGACAGAAACAUUCUAACACUAAAUUUUUUUUCUUUUCCCAGUCUUUUCACUGCAGGCAUGGAAAGGCUUAUCUUUUCGAUAAUGUGUAAGUGUUACAUCAAAGCUGUGCGAGCGCUUAUAUCUACCUGUUGUUCUUAGAUUAACUCAUGGAUUGUGAAUUUAGACUUUUGUUACAUACAUUAAAAUUCUUGCCAUUUUAUAUCCAUAGAUCACUUCUGAGCCACCAAAUAAAUGGAAUGACUUUGUAGCUGCAAUGCGAGAAUGUUGCUAAAUAAGCCAGAUAGAGAUCACUCCCGUAAUGAAUUUUGAAGUCUUAAGUCUCGAGUAUGAAAAGGAAAGAACAAAAGUGUGACAUUGUACCCAUUCAUCUUAUGAGCAUUUUUCCUUUCAGAUAUCACUAGUUUACUUCCUGGCCCUCUCAUGGGUGAUGCAGUUGAACUGCAUACAUUUGUCUCUAUCACAUUUUCAUUCACUUUCAUCCUACAACAUAACUCAUACUCAUGAAGCGCCUAUAUGAAUGCAUCAAUUAACCUUUUGCUUCUCCAACGGAUGGCAGUGUAAAUGUCACAGAUGGAGAGAAAGAAGAGCGGAUCAUGAUAACAGGACUGCAUACUGUUGUGGACAUCUUCUGUGUCUCAUGUGGCUCAGUUGUGGGGUGGAAAUAUGUAAGAUAUUUUAAUUACCAGAAAAAUAUGUUGUAUCUGUUAUUAGAUUGAACCUUUUAAUCUGGUGAUCACUUUAGGAGUCUGCCUAUGAUGAAGGCCAGAAGUAUAAGGAGGGAAAAUUUAUCCUUGAGAGGUAACAUAAAGUACAUGUCUAUAAUUUUAAAUGUUGAAUUUACAAGUUCGUGAUGUGAAUUAGUUUUUGUUGAACAGAUUCAAGAUUCUCGGCCCUGAUGGAAGCAACUACCCGAGAGCUCAUGAAGACUACUCGAUAGCUCAGGAAGCCGAGAUUGGUGGAAGUGAUGUUGAUGAUGAUUGAUUCACGAUUCCUUCAGGAAACUUUACUGCUUCAAAUGUAUAUUCUUUGGGACAUUAUGCUAUCUGGAUGGGAUUUUUCUCAUUCUAUUCCUAGACAUGAAAGGGUUCCAUGACAUCCUGUUAAAUUAUUUUCGAUUUAGUAGUAAAGUUGUGCUUCUAUGCUAUUUUGUAUUUACAUUGUGCAUGCUUUUGUCACUUUGGCAUAUUGAAAUGACGCUUAGAAACCAAUGUUGGGUGCCCAUAGGUUGAUAGAUAUUAUUCUUGGAAUCCUUGGGGAAAAUACUGAGGUAAAGAUUAGGCACUAAUGAUGUGAUUAUGAAUCUCUAUCUUCUGCAAAAACCAUCUCUUUACCUUGAACCAAAUAAUAGCCCAAUAUGUACCGAGAUAAUUAUAGCUUCUGGUCAAACAAUUUAUCGAUCAUGCAUUUGGCACCUGAUUAAACCUCUAUACUGCAACAUUGUCAAUCUUCAUAAUGAACCACACUCAAAAUUUUGUGCUGAUAAGGUGGAAACCUCCAUAGUCCAUACUGCAAUAUUGUCAAGCUUCAUAAUGAUCAAUCGACAACACUUCCAAAGUCAUGUGACUGGAGGUGCCGGAGACAAAGCCGACAGCCGAGGAAAGAAGAAAUUGAUGUUGCAGAAGAGAUGAAGAAAUAUGGGAUUCAGGUAAUAAUAUGUUCUGCAUAUUUCAUCUGAUUGGAACAUGGAAACUCUUCUGCCUGGUCAGGUAGACCCUACAGUCCGUCUAGGCGUUGCCGACUAGUCGUUUUUAUUGUUUUUAAAUGGUAGACCCUACAGUCCGUCUAGGCUUACCACGGCCCAGACCGCCACCUAGCCCGUUAAGAGCCCAAUUGCUUAUUAUUAUUUUAUAUAUAUAUUAAAUUAAACAUUAUAUUAUUUUCUGUCGUACUGUUUUACUGUUUAAAGUACUGUUAAGGCAACUGUUCAAAUGGAACAGUUUUGGGCUUGGGUCUGUAUCUUUGGGCCUCGGUCUUUUGGUCUGUAUCUUUGGGCUUCGGUCUGUAUAUCUCUCUCGAUCUUUCUCGCCGCUUUGCAUAUCUUUUUUGCUUGGUUUGUCAAGACUUGAUCUCUCUCUCUCUCUCAUCACUCUGGCUCUCUCUCUCUCUGUACGUCUCUCUCUCGUACUACGUACUCUACUCCUACUCUCUACUCUCGUCCUACUACUACUACUACUCUCUCUCUCUCUCUCUCUCUCUCUCUCUCUCUCUCUCUCUCUCUCUCUCUCUCUCUCUCUAUCGAAUCAUUCCGGCUCUCUCUCUCUCGAAUCUCAAGAAAGUUUCUUGAUCCAAAUCCGGCCAAAAUCUCAAAGUCGUCUUCAUUGCUCCGUUCUAGGUCUUAAAUUUACAACCCAAGCAAGACAUCGAGUACUUUUGAGGUAAUUUUUUUCCUUUGAUAUUCGUCAAUCGUCGUCUUAUUUUUUUGGUCUGAUCCUUCUAUCUUCGUCUAUGCGACUUUGGUUCUAACUUAGCAUGUCACAGUCAUAACCAGCUGGGAAAAGGGCAAAUCAGUCGAGAAUUCAAAGUAUAAGGGUAUACCAGUUUAAAAAAAAGUGAGGGACAAAACUGAUUUUAGGUGUAAACUACAGGGUGUCACAAGUAUUUACUCCAUUCAAGAAUGUAUUCUUUUAGUGUCCUGGUGUGUUUUAACAUUUGGGAUUUGGUUGUGUUGAUGAUUGUUUAUUUGGUUAUGAAUCUCUCGAAAUACAUGUGAGAAUUAUCUGUUAUGUUUAGAAUUCAAGAAAAAAAAAGACCGCAACAGGGCGCGGCCGGGCACUGUCUAGUAUAUUAUAUUUUUUGUAUAAAGUCUUGGGCUAUUCAACUUUGCAAAGAGUAAUCGACCACAAACGCACUCAAAGAAGCUAAUUUAGCUUCCUCCUCCACUUCUCCAACUCCAAAUUAGGUAUGAUUCUACAUUUCUCCUCCAUAGGUAUUUCAAGUUUCGUUCACUUUCUCUUAAAUCUUACGUGUUUUUCUUGCAAUUAAUCAUCACUUUUGGUGGUUACAGCCUGCAAUUGAGCUAUUGGAAUUCAAGUAUUGAAAUUGAUCGUUAAUUACUUAUCUUGGUUGGGUUCCAUUUUGUUGGUUUCUUAAUUUAGUUCAUCAUGUAUUUUCAGAGUUGAUUUUACUUGUUCUUGAUAGUGUGGUUUUGGGCAGCGGAGAGUUUCUUGUUCUUUGUUAUCUUUGGUGAUUUUGGGCAGUGAAGGGUGAAGCAGGUACCACCAUGAGUAAGAUAGGACAUGACGAACUCGGCCAAAUCCUGGACCGGAUCACCGACCCAGCUGAUAGAAAAUCAACCUCUCAGGUCUGCAAGGGGUGGUGGCUCAUAGAGGCUCAGAGCCGAACAUCACUCCGAGUUAAUGACCCCCAUCAUCUUCCUCGAUUACUUGCUAGGUACCCAAACUUAACCACAUUCGAAACCCCAAGGGGAAUGAGCAAUGCCGACCUCGCAUUGGUGGCCCAAUCGUGCCCCAAAUUGGAGGCCUUCAUACUCGAUGAUAUAUCAAUUAGUGUGGAAAUUGGGAGACAAGGCAUGCGGGCACUGGGAUAUACUUACCCGUAUAGAGUUGGAGAUGAAGAUGCAUUAGGGAUCUCUAAUGACGAAGCUCAUGAGAUAUUAAGGGUCGUUAAUGAAGUUGGGGACCAAGGUUUGUGCGCUUUGGCAGACGGGUGUCCCAAAUUGUCCAAGAUUGUGCUCAGAAGGACGGGGGCUGGACUGCUUGGAAUAAUGACCAUGAUUACUUCGGCGGCACAUAACUUGACUCAUUUGGAUUUGGAGGGCUGUUCUUUGGUUACUGACCAAGUCCUUGAAGCAAUUGGGUCCUCUAGUUGUCCCAUUCGCAUUUUGAGUUUGAGAUUUUGCUCCGAAAUUACUGAUGCCGGAUUGAGGUUUUUGGCAAAUGGGUCUUGCUCAAAAACCAUGGAGCAAUUGAACCUUUCCAGCUGCCGUGAAAUCACUGAUGAUGGGGUUUUGCUUUUGUGCAACAUGUGUGUCUUGGAGGAGCUGGAUUUGAGGUAUUGUAACCAGCUAACUGAUAUUGGAGGUCAGGCAAUCUCCACAAUUCGAACCCUCAAGAAAUUGAACUUGGACUGUCUAUUCAACCUUACAGAAGAAACCUUUGUAGCUGUUGCUGAGAAUUGCAUAAACUUGGAGGUGCUUAAUCUUCAACAAUGUCAUGUCACUGCAGCAAGUAUAGAUGCAUUUUUGGGUCACAAAUGCUUGCGAUGCCUUAAUCUUUUUUGUUGUAUUUCUCAUGAUAUAAAAGGAUCUACUUUAGAAAGCCUAGCGCUGGGAUGCCCUUCACUGGAGUCGAUUGUGGUGCAUAGAACUUGGAGACAGAGGCUGGUGCAGGACAUGCAAGAGAAUACUGUUAGCAGAUUCCUCAAAUUCUGGUUUAAUUGAAAGGUUUUCUUUGAGAUCUUCUGUUUCAUGGGGCUAGGAUGUUCUUCAUUAAAGUCUACUGUGAUGGAUGAACGGUGGGGAGAAGAUUUGGUAAAGGAAAUGCAAGAGAUUCCUGCACUUAAUUGAAAGGUGAAGGUUAGAGCUUAGCACGGUGCAUAGCUGAGGUGUUUGACCCAUAAGCAUUUUAUGUGUGUUGUUGUUUUCAAAGAACUAGAGAUGCUUCUGAACUAUUUGGUUUGUUGUGAAUGUUUUGACCUUUCAGUUUAUAUAUGAAACCAUUUCUUCUACUGAAUCCAUUCUCUGCUUUUUCAAGUGUCAAUUUAUCCUCUUCUGAGUUCAUUGUCAUUAGCCAAUUACUUUCACCAGAUGACCUCUUAUUGUUUGUUUAGAUUCCAAAGUGAAUUCCCAGUUUGCAAUUUUGACCUCAAAUUAGUGUACACACGUUUCAUUACUGCUUUUGUAGUUCUUCUCAUCAAGGGUUUUCAAAUUUGAUCCUCUUUCUAAAUUUUCUGUGGCUUUAAUACAGUUACUUAACAAAAGGUCACACGCUGGCACACCUAGACUCUUUCUCAAAGCAAAUUAAGCAUUUCAGUAUACCAAGGCUCAUUAGGAUGAAUAUGAUGAGCUAAUGAAAACACAAUAAUACUGCUUAUUAGAUCGCUGGUGUUUCUGUUGACUCUUGAAGGACAUGUCUAUAGUUGCAAGUACUGCAAAACCCAUCUUGCUCUUGCUGAUGACAUUCUCUCCAUGGUCUGGAAUUCUCUUCCUUUAUGCCUUUUUUCAGUAUCGUUUUUCGUUUAUGUUGUUUAGAUGUGUGCAUAGUAUUUCAUGUGCUCUAUGUGUUGCAUUUUAUGUGGAUCUUGUAACUGUGUGACAAUGUUUGGAUGAGGGAUUAGAUGGUUGGCAUGAGAACUUGGCUUUUGUGGGUGUGUGUUCUUUUUAUGCUUAUGUAAAGAAACAAACUGAGUUUAGUGUUGAUUUGCAUAGGACAUUGAGGAGGUUUUGUUUUGGGUUAAUGUUAUCAUAUUCAAUGUGCCAUAGCAUUGGUUCAGGUUGCUGUGCUGAAAUCUUGGUUGUUUCUGGGUUCAUUUUGUCUGCAUUGUAGGAGUUGUUUUCCAAACGGCCUACAUAUGCCUAUCACAAUCAACUUUGGCUUCUUGUGAAAUUGUUUCAUCAAUUGCUCGAGUUAAAGAACUUCAAUCAGUAGAACCAUUACUAUGAGAUUGAAACAAUCAUGCUAUUACAGAAUUGGGAAUAGUGCAUUAUCUAUACAGAUCAGCUAAAAUUUGGUCCAAGAAUUCUCUUGUUCACAUUUUCACAUUUCUUAGUUUGGUUGUUGAAUUCUUGUCAGAUCUGGUGUCUAUGGUCUCUGAAAUAGUAAAACUAGAUCAGCAUGCUUGGUUUAGAAAGCCUCAGUUUACUUCUCAAUAGUUUGAAGCAUUCUCGAUAUUUUCGAAACUGAAGAGAUUCUAUCUUUGCUUCUCAACUGUUGAUUUUCCCACUUGAUGUGUCUUAAACUCUGUUUAAUCGUAAGUACUCUAAGUAAUUCGAGAAGUAUAUACAUCUGCAGUUGCAGAUGUUGUGACUAUGCACCCCAUCAGAGAGGCACAGGUCUUAUCUCUUGGAUGUCCACAUAUUUUAUUUUCAUGUUACAUAUUUCUAAUUGUUGCUGAUAGUCAUUGUUCUAUGCUCUCUUAACUGGUCUGAGUGUUCUAUGCUUGAUAUGAGCAAUGACAGAAACAUUCUAACACUACGAAUUUCUUUUGUUUCCCAGUCUUUUCUCUGCAGGCAUGGAAAGGCUUAUCUUUUUGAUAAUGUGCAAGUGUUAGAUCAAAGCUGAGUGGGCGCUUAUAUCUACUUCUUGUUCUUAGAUUAACUCAUGGAUUGUGAAUUUAGACUUUUGUUACAUACAUUAAAAUUCUUGCCAUUUUAUAUCCAUAGAUCACUUCUGAGCCACCAAACUAAUAGAAUGACUUCUAGCUCCUAUGCGAGAAUGUUGCUACAUAAGCCCCGGACACACUACUUUCAUCUACCUUGCGAUGUUCAGUGCCUGGAGAGGAACCACAUGUGUCCCCUCUGAUACUCAAUGCCACCGGAGAUUAAACCCUGCUACUAAACUGAAAUGUAUCAUCUUUUAUUGUGUACCAAAAACAAAAAUGUAACAUCUUUUAUUUACUAUGCUUCCACCAGCUAUGUCCUAUGUAUGUGGGAUUCUCCACUCUAUUUUGAUUUGUUCGUAACAGAUUUGAGUACUUGCUAGUUGCUACGCGAUUCCGGCACUAAAAAAAAUUGGGUUUACUUAAUUGGUAGUGCUUCGCUAAUUAAUAUCUCCGUCCACCGACUUCGCCGCCCAAUCACCACAACGUCCUCCACCCCGCCCCUAACACCCUCACCCUCAGUUUAGAUUGUUAGGCAGGGGUGGUGCUUGGGCGGCAGAAAUUGAUGGAAGUUUAUUGGUAACCGGAGAUAUAUUUUUGUGAGCAAUUCAUGACUCCGUUCACAAAUUUGGCAAUUCAUGACUUGGUUGACAAAUUUAGCAUUCUGUUUAGCAAUCUUUAGAUUUAACAAUCUUUUAAGUGUAUUGUUGGAGCUCAUAUUUAUUCUAAAAAUUGACAAAUUUCAUGAAAAUUUUGAAUUAACAAUACUACAAGUCUACAACCAAAGGCAAAGCCAGAUUCAUUACAGAUUAGUACAUAUUAAGUUGACAUAUAUAUAGCUUCCCACAGCGAUAAAAAAUAAAUAAAUAAAUGAUGUAAUUAUUUCUAUAGCAGCUAGCUGAUUGGGGUAUGUAGUUGAGAAGACAUGACAUGCAAGAAAGAUGCAUAUAGCUCCCAACAGAAUCAACAGUAAAAGAUGAUACAAAUAGCAAACAAAGGACAAUUAUAUCUUACAGGAUGUGUAUGCGAUACAACCUGCUUUUCAACCCUAAACAAUAACCCACAGCCCCUGCAAGGCACUUGCCACAUGCUCCUAUUAGUGUAUGUAUGGCAUACACAUUUGUAGAGCAGAUAACCCUCAAACAAAAACUUUGUUGAAAUUUAACAAGCAAAUCCAAUCAAUCCAAAUCGAAGCAAUUCAACUCACGUUGAGGGGUCUCGGCCGCCGGCAUCGGGUAUCGGCACAAGGGACAUCGAUGAUUAACGCUCAGCCAGCGGGCAAUGCAAUCUUCAUGAUAACAGUGUGAGCAAGGCAUGCGAGUAAGCAUCACUUCUUGUUCCUCCAAUGCAAAAUCCUUCUGACAUAUACCACACAUUGGUGUUUGUUCAAUAAUGUCAGCAUCAAGUCUCAUUUUCUCCAAACCCUCGAUUGCGGAUUCAGCUGCAGGAGUGACACUCGAGUCCUCCUCAUCAUCACCAUCACUAUCGUCCAACCAGAAAAAAGUGAUGUCACGUAUGGUCACGAGAAUAGGCACCUCGUAGGUCUCAGCGGCGUAAAUCACCGGGAACAACUUGUCAAACAUCUCUUCCUGUAGAUCUUCAGAGACAUCUUCGUCUGCAAGAUCGAUCUUCAUCACUUCUCUAUACUUUGACUCGUUACUUGUUUGCUUGACGUCGGAGAAAGGGAAGUACAUUUUUAACAGAUGUUUUGGGCCGGUUACUAAAUAGACUGGAUCGGACGACGUUUGCUGGAUAAUGCAUGGCUGGCAAAAGUCGACUACAACGACUAGUAGUUCUUCUUCCCUCCUCAUGCCGACCGGCGACGGCACUGGAAUUUCGGUUGUCUGAGACACAGAGAUUUCUGAGUAAGUCUCCACCACAGGCAUGCUUGGUCUUUGACCUAAUCAACCGAGAGAGAUCGAAUAGAUGAGAGGGGAGGGAGGCAAUAAUGACUUUCCAAAGAUUGAGUAGUUCUGACUGCUACGAGCUCGAUCUCUAGCUAUAGAGCCUAAUUUAUAUACAAGCUAGCUCAGGAACAUAAUCCUAAUUCAUAUAGGGAAAGACUGCGUUGGUUUACGUUUCAUACUUUCUUCUUCUUGAUCCAGUAAACUAAAUCCUAGUAGGACUAACAUUGAACUUUCUUAAUCCAUGAAUACAUUAUGAUCGGAAAUUUUAUUGAUCGUACGUGCAUGUUUGCUACUUUAUUCCUGAUUUGAUCAUGUACGCAAUCUUGGAAUUCCUACUGAAAAUUGGACAUCUCAAUCUUGUUAUCGAGUUAUAUAUCAUGAUAUGAUUAUCAUCCUACCUGUAAUUUUUGUUGUUAUUAUUUUCUGCACAGCCAGAAGUUUGCUUCAUGUGCUGUGGACCUUUGUGUUCUAUACAUCCUUGACUUCCUAUAUCUCUUAUAUAUUCUCUUGGUCUAGUGAUUACUUAAUUAUUCCUUGCAAAAUUCCAUUCCCUAACGGUGACAGGAACUGGGUCCUAAAGCAUGGGAAGCAUGCAUGGGACUAGCUCGAAAACUCGGGCAUGACAUAUGACCUACUGCUGAGAUAAUAGGAAAAACUUUCAUCCAAACUUGCGUCCCGAAACUCUAUUGUAUUUUCAUUGUUGGUUAAUGUAAAUUUAUAAUUUAACCGGUCAUAUUUUAAGUCGGCUUAUAAUAUUUGAUUAUGAAAAAAAAAUAAAUAAAAAAAAAAAAAUACGUUUACUCCUACAAUCACCAAACAAUCAAAACAGUAAAAAUUUACAGUCUCAUUACCAACUACCAAUUUGUUAGUUCAAUCUUAUAGAUAUCAAACAGUCUCUAGUGCCUACGUAAUCUUUGAACUAAUUCAUAGAAUUCUGAUGCUUCCUAUAAUGGUAACCUCUGCAAGUCGGGCCUCAUGCAUUUGAACCAAUGGGCCAUCACCCUUGAGUUAAUUUCCAAUCAAAACCAGAACUGGUGUCCACACAGCAGUGACCCAAAAUUUGAACUACACGUCUUCCAAGAAGGAGAGGCCCCGCCAAUGGCAGAGCCCUGACUCCUCCGCCACUUUUAGUUGUUUCCGACCAAAAAAGCAGAGCCCUCCGAUGAGUAUGAGGAGUAGGUAAUCUCGAGGAAUGGCCUCCACGUCCAAAAUCGAUCUGAAGCAUCUUUUAAAGGACAAACUUUGAAUUAAAAUUCCUCUCCAAACGACAAGUCAACCAGUCAAAGGGAGCGCCACGCCUCCCCGGCAUGUGCCGCUACAUAUCCCCUUGUUUUGAAUCUCAUUCCCGAAAUCGGGCCCGUAAUAUCUCUGAAUUACGACAUUGCCAUUAGAAAAGAAAACUGAAAACGAAUCAAUCAACCUCGUCAUUAGCUUCGAAUUUGUUCAACUUCUUCGUGUUCUUCUUCAUGCAAGGUGGCGUUGGAUGUGAGUUUUGAGAAUUGAAAAUGUUAUCUAUGAGGUUUCGGAGAUUGCAAGUCAUCAGGUAAGUUUCAAUCUUUUAUUGUAUUGUCAAUGAGUAUGAUUAACGAAAAUGUGGGAAGGAUCAUAGGAUGCAUGUUUAUAAAGAAAAAAAAUUCCACUUGUUUAUUAUCAAACUAGUAACGCGUAUCUAUUGAUCGAUUAGAUUUCUUUUUUCUAAUCUCUGAUUUUUAUUUUUUUAAAGCCAAAGUCUUUCAAUUUUUGUAUUUGAAAGUGAGGAUGUAUUUAAUAAUCAAAUUUCAUAUUUGGUGAUGUGACUAUUAGAUCAUUCAUAUUAUAAAUAUCGAUUGAUGAUGAAUUAUUUAAUAUAUAUAUAUAUAUAUAUAUGACAAACAAUGUGUGAAAACCUAACAAAAACAUGUUAUCUUAAGUUUAACAACUACUUUAAAAAAAAAAGUUUAACAACUAUAAUUUUUAAAAUUUUGCUAUUUUCACUUAUAUUAUCUGACUUAAAAUUCUAAAUUGGCGAUACAAUAACAUUUUGUUAAGCAACAUAACUUGGUCUAUAUCUAAAUAGAGAAUGAACUAAUAGAUCCGCAUAACAUUCUAAUGGUUAAGAUCUUUUAUUCAUGAAUAUGAGUAUUUAGCAAGACACUCUCAUAUUGUAACACUUCAAUAUAUUGAUAAAGAAAUGUGAAGUUUUGUACUUCUCAUCAUCUUCCUAAUAAAAGAUCCUCACAUGCGACUUGAAGUUGAUAUUUAUGGAUUAUCAUCACAACGCAACAAUAUACAAGGAUUAGCACAUUAAAUCAUGAAGAAGAUGUAAGAUCUAAUGUUAAUAGAUAUAACGACACUCGUACGUAUUGAAUAAGACCUUCAUUUUGUUUUUCUUAACUCUACACCAAAUUUUCACUAAUUUACAACACAAAAAGUUCAACUCUCAUAAUCUCAUACUUCUCAUGAAUCCAACCUAGCACAAAAACCUUUCACAUGCAUACCAUGAAGUCCCUGUCUUAUAAGUCCAUAUACUUCCAUCACAAAGCCAACCAUUGCUUACAAUCUUCCCCCACAAAUGAUUAACAAAAGGCCACGUCCAGAACACAACGAAUACCCCCAAUGGCAUUCUCGUGAUUAUCCUCCCAUCUCCACCCUUCUUCUUCAAAAUUUCCAUAUCAAACAAUUCAAAGCAAUCAAACAAUUCAAAGCCUCUGCUCCAAUUUCAUCAACUCGUUUUAUUUCAAACACUCGAAUGCUCCCAAAACAGAGACUCUGUUCUUUGGUCCGCCAUUUUUGUCACACCAAUAUCACUAAUACUACAAAAACCAGCACCUGACAAAUCACAACCAGAAAAAGCUUCUAUCUUCUUAUACCCUUUUCUUCUAGCUCUGUGUUGAUUGCCUGCUUGGACUGAACUGAAAAAUGGAGAGAAGCUUCGGGAAGGUGGUGAAUGCCAACGACAGAGACGAAGAGCUGGCUCUGUUUCUCGAGAUGCGGCGCCGCGACAAGGAUAAGGAGAAAAAUGGGGGCUUUCUUCUUCUUCCGAGCAAGACCGCCGGCGACGAGCUCGAUGCUGCUCCGAUCGGUACGACGGCGUUUUUGGGUUGUUGAAAGAUUUGGUCUUUAGUUAGUUAUUUCAGUUGGGUUUGGUUUUGAAUUUUGAUGGUGGUUUUUGUUGCAGAGUAUGAUAAGGCGAUGUACAAGAUUAAUGGGUCGGCGGCGCCGGAGCGGAGGAGUAGAGUUGAUGAGUUUUUGAACUCAGAGAAUGAGAAAUCGGAGUACGAUUGGUGAGUCAUUUCAUAUAUAAAGUUUGAGUGUUAGAUUUUUUUGAGUUGUGAUGAGCUGAUUGAGUGGUCGGAUUAGGAGGCAUUGUGUACAGGGUUGCCAAAUUUGGAUUUAGGAUUAAUGGAUUGGGUGUUGUUUUGUGGUAGAGAUCUGAACUUUAGACAUGUUAGAAGUAAUUGGUUUCUUAGGAUCAUUUCAUUGGUUGAAAUUUCAUAUGGUAAGGUUUUUGUUUUGAAUUAUUUGGUUUUUGCUAUGAAGUCUAUAAUGCAAUGUCUUGUUAUGGGUUGUAUUGGACUUAUGAUGAACUUUUGUAUGUUAUCCAGGCUAAUUACUCCACCUGCUACCCCGCUAUUUCCGUCCUUGGAGAUGGAACCACAAAAAAGUUCGGUUAGUCAGAUUGAGGAACCUAAUAGGCGUGAUUCUGCUCCUCCAAAAUCUAGGGUAAGAAAUCUAGCUAACAUAUGAUGCACGUUAUUAGAGACAUGGUCAAUUUGCGAUAUGAUGUGCAGCAUUCCUACAUUUGAUUCAACUGAGUUGCAGUAUUGUUAUUCUAUCAUGCAUUUACUUGAAUAUUUGUCCAACGUAUACAUUGAAGUACUUGAAUCUUGCCUCGCUUUUUGUUGUUUAUUUUGGGAGUUUGGUUUUACUUAUCAAGUCAUGAUUUGGAAAAUGGUGGUGUGCAGCUAGCAAACAAACAGUUUGAAACUGCUUCAGACGGCAAAAUAGCAUCUAAGCAGUCAACAUUGCCAUCACGACCAAAUUCUUCCAGUACUAGUAACAGGAGGCCCUCACCAUCAAGAGGGCCAACAGCUGCUCCUCAUAGAUCUUCAACACCUACUGGACGGACCACAUUUCCUUCAUCAACCAAGCCAUCAAGAUCCUCUACACCCAAUUCACGAACCACCUUACCAUCCGCUAAGCCAGUGGCUCCUCCAGUGAGGUCUUCAACUCCCUCUAGACCCACUGCACGUUCUUCUACACCAACUGGCAGACCUUCUGUCCCAGCUACUAAGACAACAUCAAGGUCGGCAACACCAACUCGCCUACCAAGUUCAUCAAGUACACCUGCACUGUCUGCUCCACCAGGCCGUUCUUCUUCAGUAUCAAAGUCAGCUCCCCCUAGUUCAAAAAAUCCUGUACCAUCACGUGGAAGUUCUCCAACAGUGAAAUCUAGGUCCUCGAAAUCCUCAGAUAUGCCUGCUUUCUCACUUGAUGCUCCACCAAAUUUGAGAACCACUUUGCCACAAAGGCCUACUUCAGCAUCUAGGGCUCGUCCUGGGGCACCAAGUGUUAGAUCAUCUUCUGUUGGACCUGUUUCUAAUGGAAAACCUAGACAGCAAUCAUGUUCACCUUCUAGAGGAAGGGCUGCACAUGGCACUGCCAGUACUAAUGGGUAUGCUCGUCAAGUCACAAGUAAAUCAUCUUCCAAUGACAGUGAUGAUGUAAACCCUGUACUAAUGGGGACCCAAAGUGUUGAAAGAGUAGUGAACCAGAGGAAGCUGGCACCACCAAAGCAAUAUGACCGUUCUACUCAGAAGAAUCCUGAUGGGAAGUCUAUGUCCUCUGAUAGCUUAGGCUUUGGAAGAACUCUUUCAAAGAAAUCAUUCGAUAUGGCUAUGAGGCACAUGGUAUGCAUCACUUUCCUUAUUCAAAAGCACAUUUUUCACUCAGCUUGUUUCUGUAGAAGCAGUAUAUAUUCUAACUUUGGAAAUUUGCUUCUGCAGGAUAUAAGGCGAAGCGUGCAAGAUAACUUACAGCCUGUUCUGACAAAAGUUCCAGCUUCCUCUGUUUACAGUGUCCGAACAAGACCAACAAAAAGCAAGACUACCAAUGCUACAGAUUCUCCUCUUGCCACAUGCAGCAAUGCUAGCUCCGAACCAAGUGUCAACAAUGUUUCUGCAUAUUUUGAAGCGUGUGAAAUUGAAGACGUUGAUCAUGGAAGUGAGAAAGGAAACUCCUCUCCUGCAUUCCAGGAAGGCAGGUGACCAUUGGUCCUGGAUCUUUGGUUUGCAUCUGUUGUCAUUAUCUCACCAUUGUUAUUUUACGAAGUUGCCUACUCUGCAUGUUAUUUAAGCUCAGCUCAUCCUUGAGAGGUGCUGAUGGUAGAAGGCCAGCUAAACUACUGUAAAUUUUAAAGAAUUAAGUCCGAGUGCAUGUCUUUUCUAGACCUGUCACUAUUAGUGGAUCAAGAAUCAGGUACAUUCAAUUAGUGAGCCAUAAUUUGGGUCAUCUUUUAUGCUCUUGUUAGCAGGGAUUGUUUGUACUAGAUUUUUAUUAUUGGAAAUUGAAGGGCUCCUUCAGCUUUUUACAUUUGCUUUGCUGCUCAUAUUAUGUAUUUUUUACUUAUGGCUGGAUAACUUCUACAUUUGGUUAUGCAUUUUGAUAUUAAAAUACCAAUAGUACGAUUAGAUGAAAGAACUUGAUUCUUGUUCCCUUUCACCAUUAACUUGUUUCUGUUGGUCUUGCCAAUUCUAGUUCAAGAAAUGGAGAGAAAUCUCCAUAAAAAAAAAUAAUAAUAAUACAGGAAAAAUAGCCAGGCAAUUUGAGGAUGAAGUCCGAUGAACCGAUGAAGAUCUGUUUCUUUUUUCUUUAUUUUAAAAGACAGACUUCCUCUUUUUUCUUUUUCUUUUUUAUCCAGAAAAAAGUCACCCUCUUUCAACAACCUACUUUUGAAUGGAGCACAACAGACAAGACAAACAGAGCAGAACUUAAUCUGGAAAAAGACAAAAAAAAAAAAAGAAAGAAGGAAAAAUGGUGGAUAAAGUAAGGAAUUGGCAUAGAAGCAAAGGAAAUAAAUCAAAGAAUAUUUUCCCCCAAAAGGGUUCUUCAUCUUGUGGCUUCAAUCAAUCAUCAAUGCUUCAUAAUUCAAACUUCAACUUUAUGUUUUUGCUAGAAGUUCAGGCCUAACUAAAAUCUAGUCUUAGAAAGAAGCAGGAUUAUCUUUGUUGCGUAUCCUUUGAAAAUGUUUCAACAACACAACAAUUUGAUGCAUUCAACAAUUGCAACAAGUGGCAGUCAAUCAUUGAUUCACCAUCAAGGUCUGAGUAUAGUUGUGAUUAGGUAGGGUAUGAUCUUCUAUUCUUCUGUCAAAAAAGAAAGAAGAGAAAUUGUUUGACUCGUUCAUUUCCACAUAAUCAAACUUAUUCUCAUAAACUUAAACUAAAGAUUGAUGCCUUGAUUUAGGGGACAUUAUAUUUUUAAUAGAGUAUGAACUGUUUGAGUUGUUUGAAACUUCAAUCAUCGUCUGUGAUUCACUUCCCUACCAGAAAAGACAUAAGCUUUCAGUGGAGAUGUGGAGCAAAUGAAUAAACGUUUGACUAGAAACAUGAGCACUCUCAUAAGUCCCUCUCUAACCCACCAAACACAAUUCAAUGUUUUAGCUCUUCUUUUCUUAAGGGGAGUAUAAUCCACAUUUUUUAAAUUGUAAUCCGUAUUUUAUGUUUUUUUAUUUGACUUAAAUUUGAGUUAAAUUUUGUCUUCUAACGAGAAUAAUGAUUAAAAUAAAAAAAUGAGAGUGGAUUAUAAUUUAGGAAGUGUUAAUUUCACUUCAUUUUCUUAAUUCGAACUGUGAAACACAGGAAAGUAAAAUAGCAAUGUCACUAUCAAUAUCAAUAGCCGUCCAUGCUCUUCCAUUUGUUUCUGUUUAUACUUUAUACCACAAUUUUGAGUCUUGACCCUUUCCCACUAUCUCAUUCUCUUAACAUUCCUACACUAACCCAAUUCUUAUUUCUUAUACAUAUUCACACCUAAUCAUGGAUUGUAAUCUUUCCCAAUUAGCCUUUCUCAGUUCCCAUGCCUCUGAACUAUUUGAGUUUCAGUUUUUGCUCAUAGAAAGACAAGCCCAGAUCAUCAUAGAGCACCUAUUUGUCUUUUUGCUGUUGAAGAAAUCCAAGUUCAGGUCAGCUUGCCAAUUACAAGUAGUCUCAUUUUUUAUUUGAAUCACUUUAUUUCAGUUGCAAUUUGUUAACUUACUUAGCUUGUAUCAUCAAGUUCCCUGCUUUUGCUUAUUUCAAAUUUCACUUCCUAGAUCUGAGUUAUCGUGUCUAUGUACUUCUGUUAAGUGGGUUACUGGAUUUCAAGUUUGCUAUGGUUCAGGGUACAAGAAGACAUUUGGUUAAGGGAGUAGAGAAUUGGAAUUUUAUGUUGCAAUGGUUUAUAGUUGCUUUGGUCUGCUCAAUUGUUGCAAAGAAGACACGAAUUUGGAACCUUCCAGCCAAGCCCAAGGUAAGAGACUGAGUUUGACUUGGUCAUAUUAGUCUUUCAUAUUUACUGAGGUGAACUUUAAUACUGUAAAUCAGUAAACUAUGCAUCUUGAGCUUCCUUGUUUAAGUUCUGUGCAGAACUUUGGUAUACUGAACUUAAAAAUCAAACCAAUUUUGGUAAAGGGAACGCGAAAGGGUUUUGAUACAUUUUCAGUUUGCAUAUUUAGACAUUUGGCACCUUUUAGUAACUAAUUUGACGGUUAUAAAGCUUUUGAAGUUUUUCAUUGCUAACUCUCAUAUCUAUAAGUACGUUGUAAUACUUCUUAGUAGAUUUAGGAUCCGUCUACAUGUAAUAUGCAAAUCUUGGAUGUGUAUGUCCAAGUUUCACUUUUGUUUCAGCAGGAAUUGAAACUCUUUGACUAUCUCAGCUGUUGAACUGUAUAAUUGAAGGGAAUAAGCAAGCUUAGUUUUUGGUGUGUGGGUUUGCUAAGCUAGGUUACGUUGUCUGUUUCAUAUGCAUGUUUACAUCUUUGUUUAUGGUUGCUUGCUGGUUUUGAACAUGACAAAUUGAUCUAACCAGAGUUUAUGUCUAUCUGUAUGGAAUGCAUGGUACUUUAGGGAUUCCCACCAACAAUGUAAGGCUCUUUUCUUAUAAUUCAUUGAGGUCAGCGACGAGGAAUUUUCACCCUUCAAACAAAAUAGGUGGAGGAGGCUAUGGAGUUGUCUAUAAGGUAAGAUCUACUUGUUAAAAAUGCAUAAUUCCUACUGCAAUUCCCUAUUUUCUGGAGAGGAAACUUUCAAACACAUACAUAGAGAUUAAGAAAAAUUCCUGUAAGUGGCUCAAUAGGAAGCUAUAACAAUUCACCUCAUGGACUUCAAAAUCUCUUUAUUGCAUCCAGGACGCAAACAUUAUGUCAGUGUAUGAAUCACACAUUCCCGAUUUACAUGCUAUAAUCCUAGAUUUGAAGGUCCUAGAUUGACUUCUUGAUUUAGUUACUGAAAUUGAGAUGAGAGAGUUGCAGACUUCUUUUCAAAGUUCUUAUACUGCUGUACUAUGUGUUGCAGGGAGUUUUAAGAGAUGACACACAAGUUGCGAUCAAGUGUCUUUCUUCAGACUCGAGACAAGGAGUAAAUGAAUUUUUGACAGAGAUCAACACGAUAUCAAGAAUACGACACCCCAACCUUGUUGAGCUUAUUGGCUGUUGCGUGGAGGACAAUCACCGAAUAUUGGUAUAUGAAUAUCUGGAAAACAACAGUCUUGCAAGUUCUUUGCUUGGUAAUUACUAUAAUAUUAAAGUUGUAUGUUGGCUUAAGAUUUCAUAUGGCAGGAAUUGACCGAAUUGAUGACUUUCAAUUCUGCUUUGUUCUGCUCUUUUUCUAGCUGCACUACAUCUUAUCCUAUUCAAUAUGACAUUUCUCUAAAAGACUAAUUCAUGAUAUGAUUUUCCUUUGCAAGUAAUAGUGCUAAAAUUGAACAACUAUAUUGACAGGUUUAAGAAGUCAUGUUUCACUAGAUUGGCCCCAGAGAGUAGUGAUUUGCUUGGGUACAGCUACUGGUCUUGCAUUUCUUCAUGACGAAGCUGAACCACAUAUUGUGCACAGAGACAUCAAGGCUAGCAAUAUACUUCUUGGUGCAAACUAUUGUCCUAAAAUUGGAGAUUUUGGGCUGGCAAAACUUUUUCCUGAUAAUGUCACUCAUCUUAGUACUAGAGUGGCAGGAACUGUGUAAGCUUGAAUUCUACUCGUCACAUUUCAUUCAACUCUGUCUUAAGUUAUUUAGUAGGUGAAAGAUUUGUUUCUAAAUGCUGUUGCAUUGGGGUUUCCUCAAUAAUUCAAGUCAUUAUUUCAUGUAGUAACUUUAUCUCAUGAUCUAUGCCUGCAGUGGAUAUCUAGCCCCGGAAUAUGCACUUUUUGGACAGCUUACAAAGAAAGCAGAUGUGUACAGCUUUGGGGUUCUUUUGCUUGAAGUAAUUAGUGGCAGAAGUAGUAGUAAGGCAGCCUUUGGUGACCAAAUGCUGCUUUUGCUGGAAUGGGUAAAGACUCCAAUCAAAUAAACUGUUGAUGCAACGCUUGCAGGAGUUAUUAUUCUAAGACCUGACAAUUGUAAAAAUGCUUCUGCAGACAUGGAAACUGAGAGAAGAAGAAAGGCUUUUAGAAAUUGUUGAUCCAGAAUUGACUGCAUAUCCAGAGGCUGAGGUUUUGCGCUUCAUCAAGGUUGCGCUCUUUUGUACUCAAGAAGCCUCGCAACAAAGGCCGGGAAUGAAGCAAGUAGUGGAAAUGCUUUCCAAAGAGGUAGAGCUAAAUGAGAAGCUACUAGUUGAACCAAGGCCAAGACGGUAUGCACCUCAACGUGUAGGUGGUGCCAAUUGGGACGGAGAAUCCUCUUCUCAGUCAGAUAAACAAAGGAAAUCAUCGGCAAAUCCUGAUGUAACUUCCACACCCUCGUAUAUAAAUGAACCUCAGACACAAAUGUUUCCCAGAUGAUUAUUCUUUGGCUGUCCUUAGUAACAUGUUGGAAGCUUGAUUGCAAAACUCUGCAGGUUCUUGACAUCUAGGAAGCGAGUCAAAUAUUAUAGUAUGCAGCUAUGUAACUGCUUGAUUUAUUACAAGUAAAAUAAAAUGAUAAUAUUCUUUUACAAUUGGAAAGUCGUAUUGAUCGAACUAUUCUAAUCUUAACCAAAGCAAUGAGAAACAAAUAUUCUCUCAUCCUCUGACUGGCCUCCGACUUAUUCUAACCCCCAUCUUCCCUCUCUAAAUAUCUGCAUUUUCAUUUCAAGGCCAUGUUUUCUUACCAUUAAAUAGAUUCUUAUUUGAAUGCUCGAUGGGACAUCGUCCUUGAACAAACAUGGUUCUGGAACUAUCUAUAUUUGACGUCUUUUCUGUAUAAUGUGUAGAAAUUCAAUCUAAAGUCCCCAACUAGUACAUAUCAUACUCCAAAUUCCAUCCAAGCAAGAGAGCCAUUUGGACAGACUCAAACAGACACUGCAUAUAACAUGCUCGUAUAUGUGGACUUGACCCCAAAAAAUGAUGAAAAUCUAGGAUCGUACCAAUCCAAGCCACUGAUAUAUGCUGGAAGUUAUAACAAUGACUUGUGGUUUUGGAGAUCUCCGAUCACUAAAGAGUGUGCAAAUACAUUGUAUUGGCUUGAAACAAAUGUUCUCUUAUCAGAUAGUUUGGUAGUCGAUUAUUAGGGCUAUCAAAACAUUACUUAUUUGUAUGGUUUCUCUAUGUGUUGUUCAUUUAGACACAGUAGAGGACACAGUUGAGGACUGAUUUGAAGAGAAAAUCAAGUAAAUAUAUCAACAAAUGCACCAAACCUCGAUUAUCUCCUUCAGCCUCUCCUUCUCCUUCUUCUCCUUCUUUCCCAACUCAAUCGCGCUCCUCCUGCACAUCAUGACAAUAUCACACGUAAGCAAAUCGGAUUAAGAAGAUAUUUGAACUGAUCAGUUUUCUACUUACCUCCGCCACUCUCUCAGAGCAAGCCCCUCCUCAUCAAAGCCGUUUCCUCCGCCGGGUGAAUAGAUCGACGGCGGAGAUUGGGUCUCCGGAGACGAUGACAUGGUUUUCUUUUCUCUUUCGCUCGGACACUGGUUUUUCGCUCCGAAACGGCUUUGUGUGAGUCGGUUCGAAUCUUUUAAAAAAGCCGCCGUCACGAGGGGAAUAUUGAUAUUCUAUUACCAGGUCCAUAGUAACUUUGAGUUUCUAUUGGCUGGAAUGAGCUGCCCCACAGAGAUAUGUUUUGGCUAGCGAAUGGGAGAGUUACACGUUUCUGGGAUAGAUUCUCUAAAAUCUUCGCUCUUGUUCGUUUCCUUUGAUUGAGACGCUAUAAAAAACCUUCUCUGAGCUCUGUCUCAGCUCUCUACUGUUCAUAGUAGUACCCUGAGCUCUGUCUCAGCUUCCUGGCUUUUAUCUCACCUUCCAACUACCCAACCUUACUUACCUUCUAAGGAUAAUUUACUCCAAAUAUCGUCUCAUCUGUCUUUGUGUGAGAUUUCAAUGCUUCAUAACCAAUCCCUGCUAUUCCCCUGAAACUCCUUAAUUCUAAAAGGCGGAUUAAGUACUUCUCUUGUACCUGUGUGGCUGCAGAAUCCUCCUCUCCUGUUUUCAUUUGUUUUGUCUUGCUCAAGCUUUUAUUAGCUUUUCUAUCCACUUAUCUACCACAUUCAAUGAGGAAACCAACCCAAAUAGACUACAAAGUCCCAUUAAAGGAUCCUCACCGAUUCCACAUCAUUGAAGCUUUGUUACUUAUCCUGCUUCUAAUUCUAUCUCAAACAAUCUGUGUACUCUAUACUGGUUUUUCUGGAAUGGAAGAUUCACAAAAAUCUUCUGACAGCCUUGUGGUGCAGAUGAGGAGGAAGUUAUCUUUAUAUGAUUUGGACAGAAAGGUUAGAUUGAAUGCUGUCUUCUUUGCUGAUAAGAUCCCCAACAAGGUUACUAUUUGUAAUACCAUGAAGUCUGUUCUAGGAAGGUUUGGCAAUACAGGAGUAACUGCUAGUAACGAGAGGGAUCCAAAUGAUAAGAUGUUCAUAGUUACCGCAGAAGAUGCAGAUUCAGCAAAGGAUAUCCUUGAUGGAUCACCAUGGUCAAUUAUGAGAUAUUCUGUCCACUUCCAAGAAUGGCCAGAAACUCUUGCUAUAGAGGAACUACAAAGUAGCCAGAUAGCUUUCUGGGUGCAAGUUAGGGGUGUUCCACCCUAUAUGUUCGAAGAGGAAAAUGUCAGGGAGAUGGCUGAAAAGUUUGGAGAGUACAUGGGGAUGGACGACCCCAUUGAAAGAGAAGAAGGCACAUACAGUUUUCUCCGGGUUAGAAUCCUUCUUGAUGCUCGUGAUCCUCUUCCCACAGGCUAUGAGCUACCAAGAGAUGAUGGAACCAAGAAGUGGGUUAGUUUUGCUUUCGAGAAAUUUUCUGAUUUUUUUUAUGUAUGUGGGAAGACUAGGACACUGAUUUACCUAAAUCUCCAUGCCCUCAUGGAGCUGAUCCGGAGAGUGAAAAUGAGUAUGGUGAUUGGUUGAGAGCAUUACCACCUCGGAAGCAAAUCAGGAAUGAACAUUCUCAGGUGAAGACUGCAAGUGGCCGGAAUAGAAGGAGAUUUCCCGGCCAAACAAUCCGGCCAAUAGAAAGCAAUGAUAACAGCCAUAAUUCAAAGCCCCAAGGAGCCUCCUCAAGUCACAUCAGAGAGUCUCAACCCCAAGGAAAGCAUGCAGUCCCUGUCAGACUACAACUUUCUAACACAAGAGCCAAUGUCUCUGCUGUCAACCAUGGUGAUAGCAACUACACAAGGGAGCUCUCAACGGAACAAUUAAGGUACCCCACUACCCCAGCUGUUUCAAACCAUAAUAAUAUUUUCAUGUCCUCCCCCCCACCUGGAUUUGAUCCUAUCCUAAACAAUAUCUCAAGUACCUUUUUCCUUGAACAAACUCAGAACGUGACAAAUGGGGGUAAUGUUGGCUAUCCAUGGUUUGUUAAUCAAGGAAUGAGUCCCAGUAAUGUCAACCCAGCUGCACUUGCCACCCUUUUUUCAAGAUCUUUUCCCCAAAUAGUCUCCAUACCCCACACCACCAUAUGCUACCUUUUCCAAUGCUUCACCACCCAUAAUCACAAACACAAAUAUUCAUAACCCUAUCCCCAUACCCAUUCAAGCCCAGGCGAAGAGGCCCCUUCAGUCUGAUACUGCCCAUAUUCCCUCUAGAAGGAAGAUAAGGAAAUUCACCAAAUAUCGCACCUCUGGAACCGAGACCCUUGUGUCGAAUACUGAGGCUGUGACUGAUGGAUGUUCAACGAGUGAAAGCGUUGAAGGUGGUGGUGGCUCGCCUACAGCCACAAGGUCUCCAUGAUACAACUCAGUUGGAAUUGUCAUGGACUGGGGCAAUCCAUGACAAAACAGGCUCUUGAGGAGCUGAUAGGAAAACAUCGCCCAUCCAUUGUCUUUCUUUCGGAAACUCGAAUGAAGGACAAGAUAUUAAAAGUCUAAGAUUGAAGUGUAAGUUCUCCCAUGGAAUUACAGUGAAGCCAGUCAAUACCGCUGGUGGGCUGGCACUAUGGUGGGAUAACAAUGUUAUAGUUCAAAUACUCUCUAAAUCCAAAUUUCUGAUUGAUACAGUGGUCAAGUUCAAGUCUGACGAUUCUUUAGUUCGGUUUUCUUGGUUCUAUGGACCACCCGACAAGAUUCGGCCUGGAUUUUGGAAUAGGUGUGCUAACUUGGCUGGUUCUAUGGAUCUCCCAUGGUUGUGUGCUGGUGAUUUUAAUGAAUUCUUAUGGCCUCAUGAAAAGGAGGGUGGUAACCCUUGGAAUCCAGGUAAAAGGCGUUUUCUACGCGAGUUUAUGGAGGCUAAUGAUUUGAUCGAGCUUCAAUCAAAGGGUCAAAAGCUUACUUGGUGUAACAACUGGCCAGAAGGAGGUCUAAUUAAGAUCAAGCUGGAUAGAGGGGUGGUAAACACAAGGUGGUUGGAGAGGUGGCCAGAUUCUAGUGUCUUCAAUCAUCCUCGGUUGGGGUCUGAUCACUGUGCUCUUAUCUUUGACUCUAAUCCACCAAUGGUUCGGGGGGCCUAAAUUAUUUAAAUUUGAACCAAUGUGGCUUGAUGAUCCGGAGUGUAGGGGUAUUGUGGAGGCCUCUUGGACCGACAACUCUCCAACUAUUGGAGCUGCCCAAUGGGUCACAAGAAGUCAAAGAUGUGGUGUGGAGUUAUCCAAGUGGAGCAAGAAGAAGUUCUCUAACAAUCAUAUGGCUAUUAAUAGAAGAAUAGAGGAACUUCAAGUCAUACAGGAGUCUACAACAGUAGAAGCUCGUAACAUAGAGUCCCUUUUAAUUGGAGAAAUUGGUGCUUUUUGGAACAAGGAGGAGAAAUACUGGACACAACGUGCAAGAGUCAACUGGCUAAAAGCUGGGGACUCAAAUACAAAAUUUUUUCAUUUGACAACCAUCCAAAGAAGGCAACGGAACAAAAUCCUCAAGCUUAAAUCUACCAAUGAUGUAUGGCUGGAUCGGGAGGGUACUAUUCGAUCAGAAGUGGAGAAUUAUUUCAAGAAUAUUUUCAAGAGUUCUGGUGAGAGACUGGGAUGAGGCUUUACAGGCAGUUUCUCAUGUGGUUAGCCUGGAGAUGAAUUGCUCUCUAACUAAAGAUUUCUCUGUUGAAGAGAUUAAAGAUGCUGCUUUCCAAAUGGGGGGUGACAAAGCUGCAGGCCCUGAUGGCUUUCAUGGGAUAUUUUUUUAGAAAUUUUGGAGCAUCAUUAACGAGACUAUGAGGGCGACUGCAAAGGAAUUUCAUGAUACUGCAAAUAUCAUUUCAGAUUUGAACAAGACAAACAUUGUUCUCAUUCCAAAGGUCCCUUGCCCAGAGAAGGUUGAUCAAUUCCGCCCGAUUAGUCUUUGCAAUUACUCAUACAAGGUUCUUUCCAAAAUGCUUGCAAACCGUUUGAAAGAGUUUUUGCCAAGUAUUAUUUCUCCUCAUCAGUGUGCUUUUGUUCCGGGUCGCCAGAUUCAAGAUAAUAUUUUGGUAGCACAUGAGGCUUUUCAUUAUUUGAAGCUGAGAAAAACGGGAGGCAUUCAAGAACUGGCACUAAAAUUAGAUAUGAGCAAGGCAUAUGAUAGGGUGGAGUGAGACUUUCUUGAAGAGGUUCUUACCUGUAUGGGUUUCUCCAAUGGUUUUGUUCUUUUGAUUACGGCUUGUGUUAAGUCUGUGUCCUUUGCUGUUACCCUAAAUGGAAAGGUAGGGGAGUAUUUCAAGCCUUCAAGAGGUUUGAGACAAGGGGACCCGAUCUCUCCCUACUUGUUCUUAUUUGUUUCAGAUGUCUUCUCCUCUCUUAUCAGAAGAGCUUGUGAAGCCAGAACUCUUCAGGGUAUCAAGCUUAGUGAGUAUGGUCCGACUUUGUCGCACCUAUUUUUUGCUGAUGACUCUCUUUUCUUCCUAUCGGCCACAUCUGCUAAUUGCUAUGAGAUUAUGCGUAUUAUUGAAGUGUAUUGUGUUGCCUCAGGUCAGCUUGUCAACCACAAUAAGUCAACUCUCUAUUGUACGCCUAACAUGUCUGAUGCUUGUGUUCAUGUACUCUGUGAAAUUCUGGGAAUACCUGCCACUAUCAAUCCUGGGCGAUACCUUGGUCUCCCUACCAUUUGGGGCAGAUCUAAAAAAGCUUCCCUCUCUUUUAUCAAAUCAAAGUUGGCUGAUAAGAUCCAAAACUGGAAACUUUGCACUUUAUCUAUGGCAGGGAGGGAAACCCUAAUCAAAGCGGUGGCUCAAGCUGUUCCUACUUUCCCCAUGCAUUGUUUCAAGUUUCCGAUCACUUUGUGCAAUGAACUAGAUGCUAUGAUGGCUAAUUUUUGGUGGGGCCAGCAUAAAGAUGAGCAUAAAAUUCAUUGGAAAAGUUGGGAUUUCCUUGGUCAGCCUAAAGACCGUGGUGGCAUGGGUUUUAGAAAUAUGAAGGAGUUUAACAUCUCCCUCCUAGCAAAGCAGGUUUGGAGACUACAUUCUGAGCCUACCUCUUUAUGUGCUCGAAUUCUAAAAGGAAUCUACUAUCCUAGUACCGAUAUCCUAAAUGCCGGAAAGGGAUCUCGUGCAUCGUGGGCGUGGAGCAGUCUUUUGGAUGGUAAAGAUCUAAUUGUUGAUGGGGCUAGAUGGCAGGUUGGGAAUGGGGAGCUCAUUAACAUUUGGGCUGACAAGUGGAUUCCUACCUCCACCAAUGGGUUCUUGUGCCCUAUGCUUCCUGUGAAUUGCUCUAGUCCCCACAUGGUGAAGGAUCUGACUGAUUGGGGUGCUAGAUGUUGGAAGCUGGAAAUGAUAAAUGAUCUAAUUUCAAAGGAUGAUCAAUCAGACAUUGAGUUGAUAGUCUUGGGUGACCAAUCUAUGUUAGAUAGAAUUAUUUGGCCUGAGACAAAGAGUGGCCAGUACUCUGUAAAGUCAGGUUAUCACUUUCUACAUUCCCAAGACUGCAAGCCUACUACGCAACAUGCUCAUUCAUCUCACAGGUUGAAUCAUAUUGUGUGGAAGACGGUUUGGUCUACUCAAACUACUCCUAAGAUUACUAAUUUCCUAUGGAGAAUCUUGGCUAAUGCUCUUCCAUCUUACCUAAAUCUUCACAAAAGGAAAAUAAUCCCUUCCCCCUUGUGCCCUGUGUGUGAUAUGUUUCCGGAGUCUAUUGAGCAUAUCUUUCUUCAGUGCCCGGGUGCAGUGUGUGCUUGGUUUGCUUCUGAUUUGUAUUACAAGAUCAACUUGUAAACAAUCAGUACCUUUGAUUUGUGGUUUGAAAACAUUAUUCUCAUGAUGAAAGACUACAAAACAAUCAAAGAGGAGUUUCUCACCAAAGUUGCUUUUCUUCUGUGGGAGAUUUGGAAAGCUAGGAAUGCUUUUGUCUAUGAAGCUGCUACAAUUGACCCAAGCUUAAUCGCCAGGAAAGCUAAUUUGGCUGCAGCUGAAUUCAUCACCUGCAAAAACCACAAGGUCAUUUCAAAUUCAAUGCCGGUAUCUCAUUUGCACUCUCGGCAGUCUCAGAGUAAUCACCCAAACCAUGGUAGGACUUCUAUCUCCCUUUCCCCCACUGUGAGUAAUGUGACAGAAAUUUGGAGCCCCCCUCCUCCUGGUCAUUUUAAAAUAAAUUGUGAUGCAGCAUGGAUAGAGAGUUCAAAGCUUACCGGUAUCAGUGCUUUAGCGCGUGAUUGUCAUGGUACUCUCUUUGAUGGAGCUACCUUGUUGUGUCGAGCGGGAUCAGUGUUAGAGGCGGAAGCAGCGGCUGCGGUGGUGGCUAUUGAGGUGGCCAAACGUCUCCCUCCCUCUCCGAUCAUCCUCGAGUCAGAUUCAAAAGCCUUAGUGGACCAGAUAAACAAUUCAAAGUUUCCAUGUAAUUGGAAAAUUGCUCCUGUUGUGACUAUGAUUCAGAAUUCAAUUACCUCGAACCCGCGUCUAGCUUGGUUUUGGAUUUCAAGAAAAGCGAACUCUGCAGCCGAUUUGGUUGCCUCGCUAGUAGUGAGGAAGAAGUGCCCGGAGGUCUGGAUUGAUCGCCCGCCUUCUUCCCUUGUGUUUGUUCUUUCUCGUGAUGGUUUGCCGUGCCCUCCGCCUUCUAUCUUGGAUAUUGGAAGCCCAUGACUCAGCCGAGGUCCUGGUUGCUCUAUUUUCCUCGGCGUCGGAGAUCCUUUCCUUUGCUGUGUCGUCCUUUUCCUUUUCUCCCAGUUUCGUUGUUUUUUCUCUUUUUUUCUUCAGGUGUCCUUGUCUGGCCGUUUCAGUUGGCUUUGACUAGGUUUGUUAUUUGCUUGGGCUUUGGUCUUGGCCUUGUUUGUAUUUGUUUCUCUUGCCUUGGGCUUGUUUAUUGAAGUUUCAUUUGUACCAAAAAAAAAAAAGACGCUAUAGGAAUAGUGCGACUUUUCUCGUCUACCAAAAAAAAACCAAAGGUAGCUUCUUUCUAGUAAAACAUGCAUUUUUCCCUUUUUCUAUUAUAUUUUAGUUGACAUUAUUUUUUAUUUUAUUUUUUACAAUGUAAAGAUUUAAAUAUAGGAUUAAAGAGUAGGAAAUUUACCUAUAUACUAAACCUUGGUCUACUGUAUAAAAUACUGUUCAUAAGAAUGUCAACAAUGUAUGCGGGCGAUUGUACUCUCUAGAUUGCUGAAAUUCCGGAUUUGCCCUCCUUUUUUGUCUUAAUAUCAGUUUCGCCAUUAAAUCUAAAUAUAAAAGCCUAUGUCGUCUAGCAAGAGACCAGAUCCAGUGA
rnacentral:lncRNA from 1 species